CUGCCAAUCGCCCUGGACCUCUGGGAGCGUCCCACCCGCCUCCCUCGAUCGGGUUCGCCCCCAAGCCGGGGCCGGGAGCGGUCCCCGCCCCGCUGAAGAGCCUGUAGUUUUUGGGACCACUGCCCAAAAUGAACCCGCCGAGACUCUCUGUCAAUAAAGAGCAACGGGAAUUGACAUACAGAGAGAAAGAAAUAUGAAGAGCCACACCCCACAAUUUCAUCUUAUAAAUGAGCUUAGGAAAUGAGAACAGGAGGGAAAACCCCUGGGGCUGGCGGCCUGGGCUUCUGUCACUGCAGACAUCUGGCUUUUAAUGACACGAUAUGGUCCUGUUCCAGGUUAGCAAACAAAUAGCUUCUGGAGAUUCUUCUGCCUCUACCUCCAACAUCUCCAUAGGGAUACCAUAAUAUGGGUAUUGGAGAAAUAAACUUAGAUCUUUGAGUGUGUGUCUAGUAAA